CCUACGGGUGGCAGCAGUGGGGAAUAUUGGACAAUGGGCGAAAGCCUGAUCCAGCCAUGCCGCGUGUGUGAAGAAGGCCUUCGGGUUGUAAAGCACUUUCAGUGGGGAAGAAAGCCUUGGGGCUAAUACCCUCGAGGAAGGACAUCACCCACAGAAGAAGCACCGGCUAACUCCGUGCCAGCAGCCGCGGUAAUACGGAGGGUGCGAGCGUUAAUCGGAAUUACUGGGCGUAAAGCGCGCGUAGGCGGUCUGAUAAGCCGGUUGUGAAAGCCCCGGGCUCAACCUGGGAACGGCAUCCGGAACUGUCAGGCUAGAGUGCAGGAGAGGAAGGUAGAAUUCCCGGUGUAGCGGUGAAAUGCGUAGAGAUCGGGAGGAAUACCAGUGGCGAAGGCGGCCUUCUGGACUGACACUGACGCUGAGGUGCGAAAGCGUGGGUAGCAAACAGGAUUAGUUACCCCUGUAGUC
rnacentral:rRNA from 1 species